rnacentral:rRNA from 1 species
UGAGUACGAGAUGCUACGGCAUCGAAGCAGUCUAUGUCAUACUUCCAAGAAAAGCUUGCACUGUCAGAAACAGAUAAUGCCUGUACCAUAACCGACACAGGUGGGUAGGUAGAGUAUACUAAGGGGCGCGAGAUAACUCUCUCUAAGGAACUCGGCAAAAUGACUCCGUAACUUCGGGAGAAGGAGUGCCUUAUUUUUAAGGUUGCAAUAACAAGAUCCAAGCAACUGUUUACCAAAAACACAGGUCUCCGCUAAGUCGUAAGACGAUGUAUGGGGGCUGACGCCUGCCCAGUGCCAGAAGGUUAAAGAAGUCGGUUAGCAUUCGCGAAGCUGGUAACUGAAGCCCUGGUGAACGGCGGCCGUAACAAUAACGGUCCUAAGGUAGCGAAAUUCCUUGUCGGGUAAGUUCCGACCCGCACGAAAGGCGUAAUGAUUUGGAUACUGUCUCGGAGAGGGGCUCGGUGAAAUAGACUUGUCUGUGUAGAUGCGGACUACCUGCACCUGGACAGAAAGACCCUAUGAAGCUUUACUGUAACUUGAAAUUGAAAUUGGACUUUAUUUGCGCAGUAUAGGUGGGAGGCGUUGAAAAUAUUCUUGCGGGAAUAUUGGAGCCAUCAGUGAGAUACCACUCUUGUAAUGUUAGAUUUCUAACUUUAUAUCAUUAUCUGGUUGAAGAACAGUUUCAGGCGGGCAGUUUGACUGGGGCGGUCGCCUCCCAAAUGGUAACGGAGGCGCACAAAGGUUUCCUCUGAACGGGUAGAAAUCGUAUCUAGAGUGUAAAGGCAUAAGGAAGCUUGACUGUGAGACCUACAAGUCGAGCAGGGACGAAAGUCGGUCUUAGUGAUCUGACGGUGCUGAGUGGAAAGGCCGUCACUCAACGGAUAAAAGUUACUCUAGGAUAACAGGCUGAUCUCCCCCAAGAGUUCACAUCGACGGGGAGGUUUGGCACCUCGAUGUCGGCUCAUCGCAUCCUGGGGCGGUAGUACGUCCCAAGGGUUGGGCUGUUCGCCCAUGAAAGCGGUACGCGAGCUGGGUUCAGAACGUCGUGAGACAGUUCGGUCCAUAUCCGGUGUAGGCGUUAGAAUAUUGAGAGGAGCCUUCUUUAGUACGAGAGGACCGAGAAGGACAUACCUCUGGUGUACCAGUUAUCGUGCCAACGGUAAACGCUGGGUAGCUAUGUAUGGAGUGGAUAACCGCUGAAAGCAUCUAAGUGGGAAGCCCACCUCAAGAUAAG